UAGGGAAUCUUCGGCAAUGGACGAAAGUCUGACCGAGCAACGCCGCGUGAGUGAAGAAGGUUUUCGGAUCGUAAAACUCUGUUGUUAGAGAAGAACAAGGACGUUAGUAACUGAACGUCCCCUGACGGUAUCUAACCAGAAAGCCACGGCUAACUACGUGCCAGCAGCCGCGGUAAUACGUAGGUGGCAAGCGUUGUCCGGAUUUAUUGGGCGUAAAGCGAGCGCAGGCGGUUUCUUAAGUCUGAUGUGAAAGCCCCCGGCUCAACCGGGGAGGGUCAGUGGAAACUGGGAGACUUGAGUGCAGAAGAGGGGAGUGGAAUUCCAUGUGUAGCGGUGAAAUGCGUAGAUAUAUGGAGGAACACCAGUGGCGAAGGCGGCUCUCUGGUCUGUAACUGACGCUGAGGCUCGAAAGCGUGGGGAGCAAACAGG
rnacentral:rRNA from 1 species